rnacentral:rRNA from 1 species
CAGUAGCCACGGUAAUACGGAGGGUGCAAGCGUUAAUCGGAAUUACUGGGCGUAAAGCGCACGCAGGCGGUUUGUUAAGUCAGAUGUGAAACCCCCGAGCUUAACUUGGGAACUGCAUUUGAAACUGGCAAGCUAGAGUCUUGUAGAGGGGGGUAGAAUUCCAGGUGUAGCGGUGAAAUGCGUAGAGAUCUGGAGGAAUACCGGUGGCGAAGGCGGCCCCCUGGACAAAGACUGACGCUCAGGUGCGAAAGCGUGGGGAGCAAACAGGAUUAGAUACCCCGGUAGUCCCUGUCUCUUAUAA